rnacentral:lncRNA from 1 species
UUGGCAAUGCAAAUAAAUGCUUAUUAAAUGGGUCCACGACGUUUUUCAAAGCGUCAGGUGAGCAUGGAUUAUGUAGGAGUGGGGAACCAUCUUUGGAGUCCGACGACGCUUGUAGAAGUGUGACAAAAUUACCAACUUUUCCACCCUUUUGAACGCCGUUGGGUUCCAGCAGAAACGGUUGUCUCAGUGGAAACUAAGUGGAUCCCGACGAUGCUUAUACAACCGCCUCUUAGCUUGACUCCCGAC